GACAGAGGAGCCAAGCGUUGUCCGGAUUGACUGGGCGUAAAGCGCACGCAGGCGGGUGCGCGCGUGGGGUGUGAAACCUGGCCGCUUAACGGCCAGCGGCCAUCCCAUACGGCGCGCCUGGAGCCUUUGCAGAGGGCGGUGGAAUUGCCGGUGUAGUGGUGAAAUGCGUAGAGAUCGGCAGGAACACCCAGGGAGAAAUCAGCCGCCUGGGCAAGUGCUGACGCUGAGGUGCG
rnacentral:rRNA from 1 species